rnacentral:rRNA from 1 species
GUGCGGCAAGGAAGUCGUCAGCUUGUGUUGUGAAAAGUUGGGUUAAGUCCCCAAACGAGCGCAACCCUUAUCCUUUGUUCCCAGCGGUUCGGUCGGGAACUCAAAGGAGACUGCCGGUGAUAAACUGGAGGAAGGGGGGGAUGACGUCAAGUCAUCAUGGCCCUUUCGCGUGGGGCUACACACGUGCUACAAUGGCAUAUACAAAGAGAAGCGACCUCGCGAGAGCAAGCGAACCUCAUAAAGUAUGUUGUAGUCCGGAUUGGAGUCUGAAAUUCGACUCCAUGAAGUCGGAAUCGCUAGUAAUCGUGGAUCAGAAUGCCCCGGUGAAUAUGUUCCCGGGCCUUGUACACACCGCCCGUCACACCAUGGGAGUGGGUCGCAAAAGAGAGCUAGUGUAGGUUUACACACUU